CCCCCGCACCAGCCGCCACACAACCCUAGGUCUCCUUGCGCUUCGUUCCCCGCUCGCUCGUCCCUCGGUUCUCCUCAUCCCUCCUCUGCUCCGGCUGCUACGCCGCCUCUCCCUCCACAACGCGACCAGCUCGAGCUCCACCUCAUCCAUCUCCAUCUCAAGGAGACGACUGCACAAGACGUCCGGCGCCGUCACCAUCGUCCUCGGCACAAGUGAAGCACGGGAUGCUCGCUGCGUCGCCGGCGUCCUUUCUCUCGCUGCCACCACCACCCCGACCGAGCCAUCCCCGUGCUCUCACUGAGCCUUCCCCUCCGGGCUCACUGACCCAGGUGGCGGAGAAGGAGAGGGUGAGCUCGAGGGGCAGGCAAGGGAGGAGGGCGUGAGCCCUCGUUGAUGUGGUCUCCGUCAGAGGCGACGAGGGAUGGAUCCGGAGGCCGGGAAGCUGGAGGUGGAGGCCGCGGCGGGGCGACCACUGGUCCACGGACCGGGAGGAUGACGGGGAGGGGAGGGCGAGUCGCCCCCCACCACCACUACGCGCAGGUUUGCGUUGGGGAUUGAUUCCUACUAGUGAAAUAUGCAAGGGAGCCGACCUACAGUUUCAUGUAUAGCUUGAGCUCGCGGCAGAGACAUGGAAGGUCGGAAAAUGAAGAUAUGGGAUGAAGCCAAGCAAUGGAAGAUAAUGGUAACCAAGGCCAUCUUUGUUGGUCAUGGAUUUAGAAGAAAGCCAACAGAGUAUGAAAAGGAUCAUAAGAUGCUUUUACACAUGAUUGUGUGAUGCUCAGAGACAUUUCGCACAUAGAAACUUCUUGUGAAGCUUGAUUUUAUUCAGAGCCAUAUAAUUUUUUUAUAGAAACAUGAGCAGAGUAAAAUGGACACAGCUUCUGGUACAUCUGAGGACAGUGUGAUUUCUUUUCAUAGAAUGUUGUCAUCUAUAUCUUGCUGAAGUACAGAACUAUUGCACCGACGACCACAAUGGGAUGGAUCAAGCAGCCAAGACUCAGAGUGUGGUCGGGCAGCGCCAUGAGGCAGAUCUGUGCGGCGCAAGGGGCGGCAGAUGCGAAACUGAAGCUUCCCCGCUAACUUCGGAGCAGUCCACUACUAGGAAAAGGCAUGCUAGUGGCGCACCAGUUUUGCCUUCUAAUGGCGCACUACUGGUGCGCCACUAGCAUCACGCCAUUAGAAUUAAAUUCUAAUGGUGCACCACUGGUGCGCCAUUAGUAUCUGGUGUUCUAAUGGUGCACCACGUAGUGCGCCGUUAGAAUUGCCCACAGUGCGCCGUUAGAAUUCCUCCCAGGAUAAUGGCGCACCACAUAGAAGUGCGCCAUUAGUAACAAUUUUUUUUUCAAAUUUCACGCACGCUUAACUUCAGAGUUCUAUUCAACCCCAGCAACAACUCAC